rnacentral:rRNA from 1 species
AUUGAACGCUGGCGGCAUGCUUUACACAUGCAAGUCGAACGGUAACAGGCCUUCGGGUGCUGACGAGUGGCGAACGGGUGAGUAAUGCAUCGGAACAUGCCCGAAGGUGGGGGAUAACGCAGCGAAAGCUGUGCUAAUACCGCAUGUUAUCUGAGGCUGCAAACGGGGGACCAGGCAGCAAUUUUUGGCCUCGCGCCUUUGGAGCGGCCGAUGUCAGAUUAGGUAGUUGGUGGGGUAAAGGCCUACCAAGCCGACGAUCUGUAGCUGGUCUGAGAGGACGACCAGCCACACUGGGACUGAGACACGGCCCAGACUCCUACGGGAGGCAGCAGUGGGGAAUUUUGGACAAUGGGCGCAAGCCUGAUCCAGCAAUGCCGCGUGCGUGAAGAAGGCCUUCGGGUUGUAAACCGCUUUUGUACGGAACGAAAAGGAUCUGGCUAAUACCUGGCGCUGAUGACGGUACCGUAAGAAUAAGCACCGGCUAACUACGUG